rnacentral:rRNA from 1 species
CCCGUCACACCAUGGAAGCCAGCUGUACCGGAAGUCGGUGCGCCAACCCGCAAGGGAGGCAGCCGCCCAUGGUAUGACUGAUGACUGGGGUG